UAUAGUUACUGGGGGAGCUGAAAAGCUGAGAGUUUCGGACAGGCCGGACGACCCUUGGAACCUGGUCUCGAUAAUGCGAGCGUAGGGAAGUAGCAGAACCUUAGA
rnacentral:ncRNA from 2 species